UCAUUUGGCUAUACCCAUAAUGAGAUAAAAACUGUGCCAUUCACCUGUGACUGAGAAGUCGUUGCUUUAGGCGAAAUUAAUAACCAAAAUUAAAUUGCGACACAAUUGUUUGUUACUUAUUGUUGUUUGUUUUUGUUAUUUUAAAUUCAAUGGACUGACGUCGAUUGUCACCACCAGUUUUGAAGUUUGGGGCUUUAGCUGUUUGUGGUGUAUUGGCUGCUUUUCGGUGAGGACGGGAUGAUCGUGACUUGGAUUUGGAAUCCUGGAAGUGUUCCUCACUAUAAGCUCCGGUCAACAUUAUGUCUUGCGGAUGCAUGUGUGCCUUACUUUCCCGCCAGAAGCCGUUCUUCUGGAGUGGACAGCCGGAAGUGGUUGAUUCCUGCAAAAUUUUUGACAUUAUUUUUUACGUCCCUCGGAUCUCGAGUCGGCCGCCGAUGUCAAUCUACAACGCUGUUUCUUUGAUGGAAUUGUGUGGUCCCUGCACGAUGACAGAUAAGUCAUGGACGUUUUGCACAAUCGAUAUCUUCGUGACGCACACUCAUCUAGCUUCACUGCUUCUCAUGCUGCUACUCAACUCGUCUUAGCACUGGCCAGUCAGAUCACUCCAGUGAUCGCUUCCGUCCGCUGUUACAGUGUUACACACCUGCAGUCACUCACCACGGGAUUACCAACACCACGAGGUAAUGCAGAGAUGUUGCCUAGAUGAACACCAAAAGAUUGACGGCAGCCCUAAAAUGUCAGCGUGGAUCAUCAUAUGUUGUUGGUAUUUAUGUUUGUGUUAGUUAACCCGUUGUCUGCCACGCCUUUGUUCUCCCCUAGCUCCUUAGCAUUGGCCGCGCCGAAAGGCCCUGUCAGGCAAUGCACCAUAGGGACUUCCCCCUUGUCAGCCCGGACUUGUCAGCAACGGCAAGUCCCAUCUUGGUCAUGGAUCCCUCAGACGUGGCGCGUAGAUUAGUAAAACAACCUACGGGUUGUAUGGCGUGGCAGGCAACGGGUUAACUUAAGUGUAUAUGUAAUCGUAUGUAUGUGUGAUUGUAAAAAGUGGCGGAAUUGUGGGUGGAGGUGGGACAAAAUAC